UACGAAGGGGGCUAGCGUUGCUCGGAAUCACUGGGCGUAAAGCGCACGUAGGCGGUCUUUUAAGUCAGGGGUGAAAUCCUGGAGCUCAACUCCAGAACUGCCUUUGAUACUGAGAAGCUUGAGUCCGGGAGAGGUGAGUGGAACUGCGAGUGUAGAGGUGAAAUUCGUAGAUAUUCGCAAGAACACCAGUGGCGAAGGCGGCUCACUGGCCCGGUACUGACGCUGAGGUGCGAAAGCGUGGGGAGCAAACAGG
rnacentral:rRNA from 1 species